rnacentral:rRNA from 1 species
GUCGAGGGGCAGCGGGGGCGAAGCUUGCUUCGCCUGCCGGCGACCGGCGCACGGGUGAGUAACACGUAUGCAACCUACCCCCGGCAGGGGAAUAACCCGGAGAAAUCCGGACUAAUACCACACGGCACUUUCGGGAGGCAUCUUCUGAGAGUUAAAGGAGCGAUCCGGCCGGGGAUGGGCAUGCGGCGCAUUAGCUAGUCGGCGGGGUAACGGCCCACCGAGGCGACGAUGCGUAGGGGUUCUGAGAGGAAGGUCCCCCACACUGGUACUGAGACACGGCCCAGACUCCUACGGGAGGCAGCAGUGGGGAAUAUUGCACAAUGGGGGGAACCCUGAUGCAGCGACGCCGCGUGAGUGAAGAAGUAUUUCGGUAUGUAAAGCUCUGUCAGCAGGGAAGAAGAAAGACGGUACCUGACCAAGAAGCCCCGGCUAACUACGUGCCAGCAGCCGCGGUAAUACGUAGGGGGCAAGCGUUAUCCGGAUUUACUGGGUGUAAAGGGAGCGUAGACGGCAGGGCAAGUCUGGAGUGAAAGGCAGGGGCCCAACCCCUGGACUGCUCUGGAAACUGUCCGGCUGGAGUGCAGGAGAGGUAAGUGGAAUUCCUAGUGUAGCGGUGAAAUGCGUAGAUAUUAGGAGGAACACCAGUGGCGAAGGCGGCUUACUGGACUGUAACUGACGUUGAGGCUCGAAAGCGUGGGGAGCAAACAGGAUUAGAUACCCUGGUAGUCCACGCCGUAAACGAUGAUCACCAGGUGUCGGGGGUUAACAGACCCCCGGUGCCGAAGCCAACGCAUUAAGUGAUC